AUUUUGUCCAAUGAACAAACAGGUUUAAUAAGAAGUGUAUACACAUUUCAGAGGAGUUUUUCAGUUUAGUCCCAAAAUAAACGCAGGUUGCAUAAAGGUAUUUGUUAUAAAUAGUGUUGAUCUUUAAUUGCGUUUUUAUAGAUUUUGUGCACGGAAAUAAACAUUAGAAUAAAUCCUUAUUUAGUACGAAUCCAAAAAUAAAUAUUUGCUUAUUGCCAAUAAAUUUAUUUGAAAUCUAUCUUUCCUUAUUUACUUUUUCCAUUUAAAUAAAAAAGAACGACAUGCAACUUUGAGAGCUACUCUGUGGAAAUCAGGUGCAGUUUGCUUCUCCCUUUUUGGCAUUUUUACUGCUUGCUUUUCCCCACUUUUCCCACUUUCCACUGCCGCCGAGAAAAAUCUGCAACAAAAGCCGGGACAAUGGAGGCGGGUGAGUUAGGGAGAACUUAAUCCUGUCGCCGAAGGAAUGCCGUGACAAAUAGUUUUCCCUGUCAGUCGCCGACCGUACAUAUGUAUAUAUUACCGGCGCAAAUGCUAAGGAGUGUGGUUUUCGCCAAGCUGGAUCACGUAGCUGGGCGCGAUUUUGUCACUUGCAACUGCAGCUUACUUUCGACACGUUCGCGUCGAAUGCAUCUGCAGUUGGAACAGCCAAAACCCAAACCAUCGCCGGAUUUGCCAGACAGACGCAUUUACAUUCGGUCUGGCUCGGGAAAGGGAGCCCGUUUAGGAGAGCUCAAAAGAUACGAAUGUAUCUCGGGGAUGCGGCUGUUGCGUGUGUGUGGCAUGCAACGCCCCUGAAAACACUUUGCACCCUGGAUGCAAGCUGUGUUUACACUCAAAUAUUUCUCCUUUUAUAGCAAUGCGGUUGCCGCCUCCAAAAAUCCCCAGCCUCCCUGGAAAAACCCUCGUCAAGAUUUGCCGGCGCUCGUCGUUAAAGUUUUUAGUGGAGUGUAAUUAGUCUUUUCCAUGGCGUGUUCUCGUUUUUUGGGGUUUUCCCAUUUUCCUAUUUUCUUUUCAAAUUUUUUUCCCCUUUUAUUUAUUUUUGAGGGGCGGAAGGUCGGACUCUGUUUGAAUAGUUUUGAAAAUCCUUUGCGGCUAACACUAAUUUGAUGGUUUGGCAUGUUUAAUUUGUUGGUCUUUGUUUUUACGUUUAUUUUUGGAGCGUCGGUCAGGAGGUGAAAUCCACAUAAUGGGAAAAUAAUUGUUGUGGAAAACAUUUCGCUGGCCGUGCUUGCGGCCAGUGGAGGAAAAGCGAUGGGGAUGCGGACCCUGAUUGAAAUAAUUUGAAAUUUAAACGAAUCUCUUCAGUUAAAUUGUUUAUAAUAAAUGGCAGGUCAAACGUUAUGAAAAUAAUUACUUUGGCAGGCAAAAUUCAAACGCCUGAAAUUCCUAUUAGCAGCAAUAAGUACAUCAAUAUGAAUUAAAUGGAUUAUUUAUGAUCAAAACCGCUGGUAAAUACAAUUUACCAACGCAUUACAGUUAAAUAUAUUUAUACUUUACUUUACGGAUUAUGUUCACGCCAUCAACAUUAAUUUAAAAUAUUAAUUUAAUUUAAUGCUCGGAUACUUUUUCUGUGACAUAUCUUUACACAUUUGUGUAACAAGCUGUCUUUCUAAUUUCUUCGUUUUCCAAUUUAUUUCAUUCCUCAUCUAGGGUAUCGAUUUCGUUUUCAAUUUAGCAGCAGCUGAAAUCUAACCGAAAACAGUAACCAAUUUGCUGUUGAAGAGAGUUCAAUCGACAUUUGGCUUUUCAUUUAAACUUGAGCAGAAGUCGAUGAUGGUUACUGGAGAUACAAUUGAAUUCAAUUACUUAACGAAACUGUGUCGAAUUCUGCACAGACAAACGGGCAAAGACAAAUAUAGAAAUAAUGCUGUACAGCUUCUCAAUUGGAAUUCGUUCAAGUCAAGAAGCUGAAGGAGCGGAAAGAGGGAAUUUCUUUUAUAAUCGUCACAUGUGUGUUGAACUGCAACUGUUGCAUUCGAACGGCAAACAGAUAGAGAUACAUUUUUAUCCGUAUCUCUCGCACAAAAGUCAUCGCCGAUUGCUGCCAACAAAUGAGCUUAAGAAAACUGUCAAUUUCAUUUGAAGUUUUCGCUUCAUUCCACUCGACUGUUCGUAUCCGUAAGAUACGCUCUUGCCCAACCUCCUCAAUCGCCUUUGUCAGCUCCUCUAGUCUGCUGGUAAUAAAUAUGUGUAAUAUAAAACUUUGAUGGUAAUUAUUUUUCAGCACAACACCCGCAUGGAAUUCCCACAUGGGAGGCAGCCAUAAAUUGAAAACCCCGGCACUCCGCACCCCGGGCACAACUUCUAUCUAUCUGAAAAUGGGGAGAGCUGCAGCGUGUUGGGUGUGAAAAAUGAAAAGCAUCCAUAAUCUAAUUUUAUCAUUAUCACAGUUGUCUGAGCUAAGUGACGUCACACGCUGCAUGUGCAAGAAAUGUCUCAGAUGAGUGGAGUCGCAGAUGAAACGGAAUGGUAAAAAUUACGAAGAAAGUUCGUGGGGGUUCAGGGUUAGGACUUUCGAUACCCCGGAGGCAUUCAAAUUGAAGGGGCUUCUAUGGAUCGUCCCACCAAUAUUAAGUUCGUAUUUAUAUAAAUGGUUUCGGAACAUGAAAACAUAUGAAGGAACUGCUUUUAACUUUGUAAAAUGUAAUUAAAAAUAUUCACGUAAUACGAACUAUUGAAUACAAACUCAUUUCUAUAAGAAAUUUGUAAAGUUCAUGUGUAAUCUUUUUGAAAAGCGUCACAGUUUCAUUGUUAAAAUGUACAAAUCUGGUACCUACAAUUUCGUUCCUUUUCCUUCCUCGACAAUAAUCAUACCUUCGGAAUACUUCGCUAGAGGAUAUUAAAGUGGAGCCCUGUCAGCGAAAUGGGAAAAGUGUAUUAUUGUGUAAGAAAAAUCGCCUGGCACUUGACUUUCCCGGCGGCAGCAGCAACGGCAAAACUGCAGCUAUUUCAUGCUACUUUCAUGUGACUUUUGUUUUUGUCAGAACUCCCCCACACUCACCCAUAAACACUGAGCGAAAAAAAGGAGGAGAGGGGGAGAGAUCGUGAAGUGGAGGGGAGGGGAGAGGAGAUGAAGGGGUGACCAUUCAGCAUCCUGCUUAGCUUUUCUCCGGUUGUCCUUGUGCUUAUUGUGCAGCUCGGCUUUCCUGUGUCUGAAGUUAAGUGCAACUCUAACAUUGUGCAGCAAGGAGAUAGCACGACAUUCCAUUGUUGUGUGCUGACUACUCCCUGAAAAGACUUAAUUCACCCCACUCAGCCCGAAGCCAAUUUGGUAGGAAGUCCCCCCAGCUGUCCUUCGAUAUAUAUAUGUAUCGUGGUUGUUCCCAUUGUUGCUGCUGCAUUCAACGCAAAUGGCGACAACAUUCAGACACUUUGCGAAAAAAAGUAGGAGAAAAUGGAUCCCGGGGGAGGUGUAAGGUUAAGCUUUCAUGCUGCCAUCAAAUAUCCCACCAAACUUUAAUUUGCUAAGCUGUGGAAUAAAAUGAAAAGGUGAACCGAAA